CUCCAGACUCCUACGGGAGGCAGCAGUGAGGAAUAUUGGUCAAUGGGCGCGAGCCUGAACCAGCCAAGUCGCGUGAGGGGGGACGGCCCUACGGGUUGUAAACCUCUUUUGCCGGGGAGCAACGGGCGUCACGUGUGGCGCCACUGAGAGUACCCGGAGAAAAAGCAUCGGCUAACUCCGUGCCAGCAGCCGCGGUAAUACGUAGGGGGCAAGCGUUAUCCGGAAUUACUGGGUGUAAAGGGAGCGCAGACGGCAGUGCAAGGCUGGAGUGAAAGCCCGUGGCUUAACUACGGGACUGCUCUGGAAACUGUGCAGCUAGAGUGCAGGAGAGGCAGGCGGAAUUCCUAGUGUAGCGGUGAAAUGCGUAGAUAUUAGGAGGAACACCGGUGGCGAAGGCGGCCUGCUGGACUGUAACUGACGUUGAGGCUCGAAAGCGUGGGGAGCAAACAGGAUUAGAUACCCCUGUAU
rnacentral:rRNA from 1 species